GACGAACGCUGGCGGCGUGCCUAAUACAUGCAAGUCGAACGCACGAAGUUGAAGAGCUUGCUCUUUAACCAAGUGAGUGGCGGACGGGUGAGUAACACGUGGGUAACCUGCCCAUUAGAGGGGGAUAACAUUCGGAAACGGAUGCUAAUACCGCAUAGUUUCAGGAAUCGCAUGAUUCUUGAAGGAAAGGUGGCUUCGGCUACCACUAAUGGAUGGACCCGCGGCGUAUUAGCUAGUUGGUGAGGUAAUGGCUCACCAAGGCAAUGAUACGUAGCCGACCUGAGAGGGUGAUCGGCCACACUGGGACUGAGACACGGCCCAGACUCCUACGGGAGGCAGCAGUAGGGAAUCUUCCGCAAUGGACGAAAGUCUGACGGAGCAACGCCGCGUGAGUGAAGAAGGUUUUCGGAUCGUAAAGCUCUGUUGUAAGUCAAGAACGAGUGUGAGAGUGGAAAGUUCACACUGUGACGGUAGCUUACCAGAAAGGGACGGCUAACUACGUGCCAGCAGCCGCGGUAAUACGUAGGUCCCGAGCGUUGUCCGGAUUUAUUGGGCGUAAAGCGAGCGCAGGCGGUUUGAUAAGUCUGAAGUUAAAGGCUGUGGCUCAACCAUAGUUCGCUUUGGAAACUGUCAAACUUGAGUGCAGAAGGGGAGAGUGGAAUUCCAUGUGUAGCGGUGAAAUGCGUAGAUAUAUGGAGGAACACCGGUGGCGAAAGCGGCUCUCUGGUCUGUAACUGACGCUGAGGCUCGAAAGCGUGGGGAGCGAACAGG
rnacentral:rRNA from 1 species